rnacentral:lncRNA from 1 species
ACUUUUUGGAUCCAAGAUUUAUGGUUGUUCUAUGUCAUGAUCGAGCUUUGGAGAAGCGUAGUGAUUUCAGUAAGAGAUACUCUUUUGGGGGUUCGCUAAUCAAGUAAGUAUAUGUUCAUCCUUUCCUGAAAAUCUUUGAGAACUAGAUGGAGACGAUGAUUCGUAAGUAUCAUAAUUUGGUACAAAUAGAGUCAUAUAGUUUGGGUGAAUCUUGAGAUUUUUGGUGCUUUCUUUACUAUAGUCUUAUUGUGCGAAUAAUCCAAUAAAUUAGAUUCUGAUAUUCUCUAGUUUGCACACCACUUUGUCAUGAUGAUGGUUGCUUCUGUAGUUUUGCAUGUUAAAAUUAAUCUCUUUAUAGCAGGAAUAGGUUGAUACUUGAUACCAUUUGGGUUGUUCGUGGGGUAGGGGAGGGGAGGUGAUGGGAAGGGAGGAAGCAACGUGCUGGAUUUUGCGAUUGAAAAUCCAGAUUUUAUUUUUCAAUAGAAAAGGUAAGAGAAAGCUUAGCAAAAGUGUAAAGUUCUAAAAUUUUUCUCUAGCUCUAUUUAAUCGGCCUUUUAAUGGUUGAUAACUUAGCUAACAGUUCAAUUUUUUUUGCCAACUAUAAAAUAUUAUUUUCUUUCUUGAUCUACUUGUUAUUUUUUAUUGCAAGUUGAUCAUACCAAAUUUUUUUAAGGUUCCAUUAUGUUCUCUUGGUGUUAUCAUUCUUUGACUUUUGUGCUGGCCAGUUAUACUAUAGUUAUUAACAGAUGUCUAUGUCUAAAUUGUCAUUGUCCUUGAUCUUUGGUGGGUGAAAUCCGUUCAUUUUGGAUCAAGUGCCAUUUUUCUACUCUUUAAAGGUCUCAUUAUUUUAGUUUAUUGCCUUGAUAAACUUGAUUCUAUAAUGUAUAUUAACGUGCUAGUGUUGAAUGAAUCUUUAUUUCACAAACAUAUAGGUCUUUUUAAGUGAGAAUACUGCAUUAGAUUUAUCAGAUCUUUACUUAAGCAUGAUAUCGAUUUAAGAAAUGUUAGAGCAAUUUACGCGCUGGCGCUAAUGGUUAGUGAAUGGUGACUCUAAUUGCUUUAACAAAAUGUAAUAUAGGUCUGAUGAAUAAUUUUUAUAAUUUGAGUAGUAGAAUACAGUAAAACACUUUCUUUCUGUCAUUAAAUUUUUUUAUCACAAUUGUAGUAGGCAGCAAUGGAGCUGAAAGAUGGUAACUUCAUGGUGGAGUUGUUCUUGUUAUUGGAGUACUAUGGGCAUAGGGUAAGCAACAUUUCAAGCCCUAUCCAUUAUUCAUUUUCUCUAUCUUAUGAAAUUUGUGAGUUCUUUCAUUUUAUUUAUAAUGUUCAUUGACUUUUGAUUCUUCUUCUUUACUGAUGCAUUAGACAUGUCAUCGUUGAAGAAUUUUUAAGCUUCGGUGUAGUGAUUUAUACACGUUCAUGAAAUAAAAAAUAUUCUGAUGAAUGUUUUGGAGAAACUGGCAAAAGAAGGGGUGUAAAUUAAAAAGGUCUAUAUGUGUCUUGUUAUCAGAAGAUCAAUGACACUGGUAAUUGUAAAAGCCACUAAAUACUUCAGUGGAAAGCUUAAUAUCUCUGUAAAUGAGAUACCUUAAAUUGUUGUGAAGUUUAUAUUGAAUCUUUAAUUGAAGAUUACUAAUUAUGUAAUUUCAUAUUGAAUCUUUUAUUAUAAUGCUCC